rnacentral:tRNA from 3 species
CGGGAUGUAGCACAGCUUGGUAGUGUACUUGAUUUGGGAUCAAGGGGUCGCAGGUUCGAAUCCUGUCAUCCCGACCA